rnacentral:tRNA from 2 species
GCUCCGGUAGCUCAGUUGGUAGAGCAGUUGACUCUUAAUCAUCAGGUCCUCGGUUCAAGUCCGAGUCGGAGUAC